UGCAUAUCAAAAAAGCGGAGGAAAAGAAACCAACCGGGAUUGCCUUAGUAACGGCGAGUGAAGCGGCAAAAGCUCAAAUUUGAAAUCUGGCGUCUUCGACGUCCGAGUUGUAAUUUGAAGAAGGCGACUUUGUAGCUGGUCCUUGUCUAUGUUCCUUGGAACAGGGCGUCAUAGAGGGUGAGAAUCCCGUGUGGCGAGGAUCCCAGUUAUUUGUAAAGUGCUUUCGACGAGUCGAGUUGUUUGGGAAUGCAGCUCUAAGUGGGUGGUAAAUUCCAUCUAAAGCUAAAUAUUGGCGAGAGACCGAUAGCGAACAAGUACAGUGAUGGAAAGAUGAAAAGAACUUUGAAAAGAGAGUGAAAAAGUACGUGAAAUUGUUGAAAGGGAAGGGCAUUUGAUCAGACAUGGCGUUUGCUUCGGCUUUCGCUGGGCCAGCAUCAGUUUUAGCGGUUGGAUAAAUCCUCGGGAAUGUGGCUCUGCUUCGGUAGAGUGUUAUAGCCCGUGGGAAUACAGCCAGCUGGGACUGAGGAUUGCGACUUUUGUCAAGGAUGCUGGCGUAAUGGUUAAAUGCCGCCCGUCUUGAACCCACGGGACC
rnacentral:rRNA from 2 species